CCUACGGGUGGCUGCAGUGGGGAAUAUUGGACAAUGGGCGAAAGCCUGAUCCAGCCAUGCCGCGUGUGUGAAGAAGGCCUUCGGGUUGUAAAGCACUUUCAGUGGGGAAGAAAGCCUUGGGGCUAAUACCCUCGAGGAAGGACAUCACCCACAGAAGAAGCACCGGCUAACUCCGUGCCAGCAGCCGCGGUAAUACGGAGGGUGCGAGCGUUAAUCGGAAUUACUGGGCGUAAAGCGCGCGUAGGCGGUCUGAUAAGCCGGUUGUGAAAGCCCCGGGCUCAACCUGGGAACGGCAUCCGGAACUGUCAGGCUAGAGUGCAGGAGAGGAAGGUAGAAUUCCCGGUGGAGCGGUGAAAUGCGUAGAGAUCGGGAGGAAUACCAGUGGCGAAGGCGGCCUUCUGGACUGACACUGACGCUGAGGUGCGAAAGCGUGGGUAGCAAACAGGAUUAGAUACCCUUGUAUUC
rnacentral:rRNA from 1 species